UUUUUGCGUUAAGGAUAGUAGUGAAAAUCCCGCAGCAAGUUGUAGCGGCAGCAAAACUUGUGAGGAAUUGUAACGAAUAGCCUGACCCGUG
rnacentral:misc_RNA from 1 species